ensembl:snoRNA
AUUGCCCCUUGAGGUAUUGGCUGCUGUGUCCCACGUGUGUCAGUAGGUGGCAGAGAGAAGAGAGGCCAUGUCUACACUCAGCUCAGUGUUCUGACCUGUGAACAUCUGAAUGAUUAGCAAUUCCUGAAAAA